CAGAGGUCUCAAGCGUUGUUCGGAAUCACUGGGCGUAAAGGGUGCGUAGGUGGCGUGGUAAGUCAGAUGUGAAGGCCCGGGGCUCAACCUCGGAAUAGCAUCCGAUACUACCAUGCUAGAGUACUGAAGAGGUGACUAGAAUUCUCGGUGUAGCAGUGAAAUGCGUAGAUAUCGAGAGGAAUACCAACGGCGAAGGCAGGUCACUGGGCAGUUACUGACACUGAGGCACGAAGGCCAGGGGAGCAAACGGGAUUAGAUACCCCGGUAGUCCUGGCAGUAAACGGUGCACAUUUGGUGUGGGCGCAAUCGACCGCGUCCGCGCCGGAGCUAACGCGUUAAAUGUGCCGCCUGGGAAGUACGGUCGCAAGAUUA
rnacentral:rRNA from 1 species